GGACUCAUGGCCAAAUGGAUAAGGCGCUUGACUACGGAUCAAGAGAUUCCAGGUUCGACCCCUGGUGAGCUCG
rnacentral:tRNA from 1 species